rnacentral:rRNA from 1 species
UACGGGGGGGGCAAGCGUUGUUCGGAAUUACUGGGCGUAAAGGGCUCGUAGGCGGCCAACUAAGUCGGAUGUGAAAUCCCCAAGCUUAACUUGGGAACUGCAUCCGAUACUGGAUGGCUUGAAUCCGGGAGAGGGAUGCAGAAUUCCAGGUGUAGCGGUGAAAUGCGCAGAUAUCAGGAGGAACACCAGUGGCGAAGGCGGUGCUCUGGGCCGGAACUGACGCUGAGGAGCGAAAGCGUGGGGAGCAAACAGG